AACUGAUUCUACAAUUUUUUUUCCUGACAUUAGCCUUGAUAUCAAACACGCCUAAUGUUUUGGGACGACAACUCGUUGACUGCAACCAAGAAGGUGCCACAUUGUCCAAUGGAAUAUGUUAUCAAGCUUUUAGCGACAGGAAGCUUAAUUGGUAUGAUGCACAACUAGCAUGUAAGACCUGGGGUGGAGAUUUAGCUACGAUUGAUCUUGGUACACUGCCUAAUUCCCCUCUAAUUUAUUUAAAGAG
rnacentral:sRNA from 1 species